GGCUCUGAAUUACUGAAUGACCAUUCCCAACGUGCUGAACUUCUGUGAGUUGUAGUUUUGUAAGCCAUUUGUUCUCUUGGUUUUUGUUUGUUUUUCCUUUUGUGUUUUGACAGGACAGAGAGAAACAGAGAAGAGGGGACUAUAAAGAAGGAGAGAGAAAGACACCUGCAGGCAUGCUUCAACACUUGUGAAGGGUCCUCCUUGCAGGUUUUCUGGAAGAUGUGUAGAAAGAUUCAGAGGGCAUCUUCCGGACCUUCUAGAGAGAACAGCUGUUCACAAGAAACUCAACGUGAUUCAAAUCCUACUCACAUCCCUGUUCUCUACUCUGACUCCUGGAAACCCUGCCUGAGACCCUCCCUGAUUGCUGGGCCCCAGAAGGUCCUGGAAGAGGAUGGCAGAAGAGGAACUGUUAUGUGGAAAACUGAGAAAUGUUAUGCAUGUACAAACUGCUGUAUAUUUCUGGCUACUGUAUUUUCUUACUGACUAUAAACCAUUAAUCCCAAUGAUAAUAAUAACCCUACUAGCCUGCCAGGCUGAGAUCAGUGGUUGCUAAUCCUGACUCCUGAGGUUUUCCGCUCACCAACAGCACAUUUCAUUUCUGCUCCCAUUUCAAUGGCUAAAGUGUAGCUUAUCUCAGACACAAAGCCAACAGAGUAGA